rnacentral:rRNA from 1 species
UCCGUAGGUGAACCUGCGGAAGGAUCAUUAACGAACAACGGGGCUCGCCCCUUGUCUCACAAACACACCCCAGUGCACGCUAUCGAAAGGCCGGCUCGUUGGGAGACCCGCGAGCCNGCGCCGUUCGUUUAACAAACUCGAGAAUGUCUGUCAGAAUGUCUAUUGGGUAUACAAAUAUAAUAUAACUUUCAGCAACGGAUCUCUUGGCUCUCGCAUCGAUGAAGAACGCAGCGAAAUGCGAUAAGUAAUGUGAAUUGCAGAAUUCAGUGAAUCAUCGAAUCUUUGAACGCACCUUGCGCUCCUUGGCAUUCCGAGGAGCAUGCCUGUUUGAGUGUCAUGAAACUCUCAACCCCCGCCGUCUUUGCGGACGAGCGUCGGUUUGGAUUUUGGAGGUUUGCCGGACGGUCACGUUCGGCUCCUCUCGAAAGCAUAAUGAAGCUUGGACCGACCGACCGAGUGGACGUGAUAAAAAGUCACCGUCGACUCAAGGGUCCGUCGUUGAAUGGUCCGAACGCUGUGUUUUCCAUCGCCUUUGGGCAAUCUCUGACCUCUGACCUCAAAUCAGGUAGGACUACCCGCUGAACUUAA